UCCAAACAAAACAAAAAUACCAAAAGAAAAUACAGAAGGAACUUUCCAAAAUACAUUGGUUAGUCCAGAUCUACAACUAUGGUGGUUUUGAGAAACCUUCUUCUUUCACUUCAUCUCAGCCCCUUCAGCUUCUUUCCAGCGAGGUAGUCACCCUUGGCGGCGAUUGACCGGAAUACCAACGACCCCAGCAUCACUCAGAUCCAGCUCACUGGUGACUCGGGAGUUCUCAGUCAAAACCUAAUUUCGUGGAUAAACGGUAGCUCUUCUAUUUCAAAAUCAAUUUUGGGGAUUUCUUGUUAUAUCGAGUUUCACGAUAAAUUAUGGCUAUAAAUCUUUCGAAAAUCUUGGAAUGAAGUUAGUUUUUCUGUGUUAGAGCCUUGAGGUAUGUUU